rnacentral:rRNA from 1 species
GACGAACGCUGGCGGCGUGCUUAACACAUGCAAGUCGAACGGAAAGGCCCUGCUUUUGUGGGGUGCUCGAGUGGCGAACGGGUGAGUAACACGUGAGUAACCUGCCCUUGACUUUGGGAUAACUUCAGGAAACUGGGGCUAAUACCGGAUAGGAGCUCCUGCUGCAUGGUGGGGGUUGGAAAGUUUCGGCGGUUGGGGAUGGACUCGCGGCGUAUCAGCUUGUUGGUGGGGUAGUGGCUUACCAAGGCUUGGACGGGUAGCCGGCCUGAGAGGGUGACCGGCCACAUUGGGACUGAGAUACGGCCCAGACUCCUACGGGAGGCAGCAGUGGGGAAUAUUGCACAAUGGGCGGAAGCCUGAUGCAGCAACGCCGCGUGCGGGAUGACGGCCUUCGGGCUGUAAACCGCUUUCGCCUGUGACGAAGCGUGAGUGACGGUAAUGGGUAAAGAAGCACCGGCUAACUACGUG